CCUACGGGAGGCAGCAGUAGGGAAUCUUCCACAAUGGGCGAAAGCCUGAUGGAGCAACGCCGCGUGAGUGAUGAAGGCCUUCGGGUUGUAAAACUCUGUCAUUCGGGACGAACCGGAGUCUGAGGAAAUGCAGACUCUCUGACGGUACCGGAGGAGGAAGCCCCGGCUAACUACGUGCCAGCAGCCGCGGUAAUACGUAGGGGGCAAGCGUUGUCCGGAUUCACUGGGCGUAAAGCGCGCGCAGGCGGUGAUGUAAGUCUGAGGUGAAAACCCGAAGCUCAACUUCGGGACUGCCUUGGAUACUGCGUCACUUGAGGAUAGGAGAGGCAAGGGGAAUUCCACGUGUAGCGGUGAAAUGCGUAGAGAUGUGGAGGAACACCUGUGGCGAAGGCGCCUUGCUGGCCUAUUUCUGACGCUGAGGCGCGAAAGCGUGGGGAGCAAACAGGAUUAGAUACCCUGGUAGUCCACGCUGUAAACGAUGAGUGCUAGGUGUAGGUGGGCUCAUACCCAUCUGUGCCGAAGCUAACGCAUUAAGCACUCCGCCUUGGGGAGUUACGGUUGCAAGACUUGAAACUUAAGGGAAUUGACGGCUUGAGACNGCGAGACGACACGAGGAGAG
rnacentral:rRNA from 1 species